rnacentral:rRNA from 1 species
UACGAAGGGGGCGAGCGUUGUUCGGAAUCACUGGGCGUAAAGGGCGCGUAGGCGGCCCUCUUAGUCGCGUGUGAAAGCCCCGGGCUCAACCUGGGAACGGCGCGCGAAACGGGAGGGCUGGAGUUCGGGAGAGGAGAGUGGAAUUCCCAGUGUAGAGGUGAAAUUCGUAGAUAUUGGGAAGAACACCAGUGGCGAAGGCGGCCGACUGGUCCGGUUCUGACGCUGAGGCGCGAAAGCGUGGGGAGCAAACAGG